rnacentral:rRNA from 1 species
GAUGAACGCUAGCGGCAGGCCUAAUACAUGCAAGUCGAACGGGAUCCAGAUCAAAGCUUGCUUUGGUCUGGUGAGAGUGGCGCACGGGUGCGUAACGCGUGAGCAACCUACCCUUGUCAGGGGGAUAGCCCGGCGAAAGUCGGAUUAAUACCGCAUGACAUCAUUGAGAGGCAUCUUUCGAUGAUCAAAGAUUUAUCGGACAAGGAUGGGCUCGCGUGACAUUAGCUAGUUGGUAAGGUAACGGCUUACCAAGGCUGCGAUGUCUAGGGGCUCUGAGAGGAGAAUCCCCCACACUGGUACUGAGACACGGACCAGACUCCUACGGGAGGCAGCAGUAAGGAAUAUUGGUCAAUGGACGGAAGUCUGAACCAGCCAUGCCGCGUGCAGGAGGACGGCCCUAUGGGUUGUAAACUGCUUUUAUACGGGAACAAACGUCGGUACGUGUACCGGUCUGAGUGUACCGGAAGAAUAAGGAUCGGCUAACUCCGUG